CAUACGAGUCUAUGGAUGAAAGCGGGGGACCGUAAGGCCUCGCGCGAUUGGAGCGGCCGAUGGCAGAUUAGGUAGUUGGUGGGGUAAAGGCUCACCAAGCCUGCGAUCUGUAGCUGGUCUGAGAGGACGACCAGCCACACUGGAACUGAGACACGGUCCAGACUCCUACGGGAGGCAGCAGUGGGGAAUUUUGGACAAUGGGCGCAAGCCUGAUCCAGCCAUUCCGCGUGCAGGAUGAAGGCCUUCGGGUUGUAAACUGCUUUUGUACGGAACGAAAAGGUUUUCCUUAAUACGGAGAGCUCAUGACGGUACCGUAAGAAUAAGCACCGGCUAACUACGUG
rnacentral:rRNA from 1 species